rnacentral:rRNA from 1 species
AAGCCUACAAGCUAGCUCACCCUCACCCCAACAACAAACUAAUAAUACCCCCUAACUACUUUAAACCCACAAACAAACCAUUUUUCCACCUGAGUACGGGAGACGGAAAAGGAACAAGAAGCAACAGACAAAGUACCGCAAGGGAAAGCUGAAAAAGAAGUGAAAUAACCCCCACAAGCCCGUCAUAGCAGAGACCGCCCCUCGUACCUUUUGCAUCAUGAUUUAACAAGAAACCCUCAAGCAAAGAGCCCUGCAGUUUGAGACCCCGAAACUAAGCGAGCUACUUCAAGACAGCCUCUCCCUAGGGCCAACCCUUCUCUGUAGCAAAAGAGUGGGAAGAUCUUCAAGUAGAGGUGACAAGCCUACCGAGCCUAGUUAUAGCUGGUUGCCCGAGAAACGAAUAGAAGUUCAGCCCUUUGCCCCCCUCCGUCCAAUUGGCACGCCCAACAAGACACAAGGGGUCCUUAAGGAGUAAAUCAAAGGAGGUACAGCUCCCUUGAAAAAGACACAACUUAUCCAAGAGGUCAAAGAUCAUA